CUGACCUCUUCUGCUCAGUCACACACUCCCUGCCUGAGGUGACAUCCUGUCUGUCUGUCUUCGACGCUGAACUAAACGCACAAAUCUAUAGUGUGCAGUGUAACCUGCGUGUAAAUGCACAUUCUGGCGGCACGCAGAUGCUCUGUUACUCUUAUCACUUUCGUACCACUAGUGCUUCACUCCUUAAUAGCUGAGCAUAGUGUUUGAUGUUAUACAACAAUAUUUUAAAUCUCUCCCAAGUAAUCAGGGGAGGAGGUUUGAUUUCAAAAUGAGCUACAGAUAUAUUCCCUGUUCUUGUUUCGCAUUAAUUAUGCCAGAAAUCAAUGUUAUGGGAGUAGGUUGUAUGGUUCUAAAAACAUUCACAGUGACAGGAAAUGAAAGAUGAGAUUAUUAUUAAGUGUGAAUAUGGUAUGAAAGGUUUAUGGGCCCUUAGCCAGGUACAGGUUUCCUGUAUUUUUGACUAAAAUUGUGACUCGUGCUGCUCCCACAUGCUAGAUGUAUUAUUUACGCCAUGUAUUGAGCUAUGUAUUUGAAUGACCCAUGCUAAUCUUCCAUUCUAGAACGUUCCAUUAGUUUUGUCAGCACCUUUUUGAGUAAUAUCAUGCCUUUUGUUAAUGUCCCUGUUAUACAUAUCUGUAGACUAAAUAUUCCAUGACUAGUCUGUGAUUUUGUAUGUCAUUAUUUGUAGGACCUGUAGGUGGCAAUGGCUCCCAUAUCUUGGCACAUGUAAAGGAUUUUAUAUAGCUGCACAUUGCGUACCUAAGUGUGAGUGAGUGAGUGUGUAUAUACAGUACCAGUCAAAAGUUUGGACACACCUUCUCAUUUUUUGAGAAGUGUUUUCUUUACUUUUAUUAUUUUCUACAUGCUAGAUAACACUUUUUUUUUGUUUAGUACAUCAUUCCAUAUGUGUUCUUUCGUAGUUAAAAUGUCUUCAGUAUUAAUCUACAAUGUAGAAAAUAAUAAAAGUAAAGAAAACACUUCUCAAAAAAAUUAAAGGUGUGUCCAAACUUUUGACUGGUACUGUACAUAUAUGAAUAUAUGAUAUGCAAAGGAGAAUGAAUAACUGCCAGAUUGGACACAUUUCCCCCUUUUUGUGUCGGUCCCAGGUUACAACAGACUCUAGGAUGUGAAUGUUGGUCGGAAGGGAAAGUGAUGAUUGAUUGAGACCUAUGAGGACUUGCUUGAAAUGCUUCCAGAAAUCAAGGCAAAUGGAAGGAUAAACAUGUUAAGUGUAUGAGUGUGUGUUUGUUGGGUGUAAUUGAAGGCUAACUCACUCAAAAUUAUGAUCAUUGUUGUUUGAUAUAGGAUGAGAAUCUCUAAACCUAUGCUGUAAUUGCUUGCCAAAGAUGCCUCGAUGUGGUAUUGUAGAGAAUGAUGUGUGUGAAAAAACCAGAUAUGUCACAUGGAAGCUUGGAUUCAGAGACUCGUCAGGGUCGUUUCAGACACUGCAUCUUUGAUGUGUUAAUGCUUUCUAAGUGAAAUACCACCAGGCAUGCCAUGCACUGUGUGCCCACUUCACAGCAGUCUGAUUUUUAGCACCGUAUUCUGGCAAAAUAUAUAUUAAAGUAUAUGUGACUUGGUCCUCUGGAACAAUCACCCCAUGCGUCACACAAGUAUCUCUGCUUACACUGUGAUUUACUGUAAAGUAAUGUAAUGAUGGUCAUCAGUGGCUCAAACGCAUUGUUUAUCAGGCGCUCCCCUGAGAGCAAGGGGGGUAUUCCUAGGACGUGGUUUAGUGACGAACCCGGAUGAGUUAACUCCGAGUAUAAGUGCUAAACCUCGUAAUCGAAGAAGAACCCUAUGGCUUCAUUCUCCUAGCAAAACAAAGCCACAGGGAUCCUUUUUUGGGAGGUGUACUACUUACUAUGAGUUAACUUAUCCAGGUUACUCACCAAACCACGUACUUGGAAUACCCCCCCAGGACUAUCUUCUGUGAAGCUCUACGAGUCUCCCAACUGACUGAAUUGGUUGUGUGUCUUCAUCAGAUUGAAGUUGAUUGUGUUACCGCUAGUGAUACAAAUGCUUGCAGUUUCAUUUCUGGCAAAAUGUCAUAAAAGAGAUUUUAGAGAAUUCCUUUAUAAUGGUUAAUAAAAUAUUUAUCAGACUA
ensembl:lncRNA